UACAGAGGUGGCAAGCGUUGUUCGGAAUUACUGGGCGUAAAGGGCGCGUAGGCGGUUCGUUAAGUCCUGUGUGAAAUCCCCCGGCUCAACUGGGGAACUGCACAGGAAACUAGCGGGCUUGAAUUCGGGAGAGGGAUGUGGAAUUCCAGGUGUAGCGGUGAAAUGCGUAGAUAUCUGGAGGAACACCGGUGGCGAAGGCGGCAUCCUGGACCGAGAUUGACGCUGAUGCGCGAAAGCCAGGGGAGCAAACGGG
rnacentral:rRNA from 1 species